GUUUAGCCCUGAUGGAGCUAUUUGUUUGAGCUCUUUUGAGGAACGAAAAAAGCGAGUAGCGAGAGCAGGAAAUAGC
rnacentral:misc_RNA from 1 species